rnacentral:rRNA from 1 species
GGGGGGGGCAAGCGUUGUUCGGUAUUACUGGGCGUAAAGGGCGUGUAGGCGGCCCUGCAAGUCUUUCGUGAAAUCCCACAGCUCAACUGUGGAACUGCGAGGGAAACUGCAGGACUUGAGUCCGGGAGAGGAGAGUGGAAUUCCCAGUGUAGCGGUGAAAUGCGUAGAUAUUGGGAGGAACACCGGUGGCGAAGGCGGCUCUCUGGACCGGCACUGACGCUGAGGCGCGAAAGCUAGGGGAGCAAACGGGGAUUAGAUACCCCGGUAGUCCUAGCCUUAAACGAUGAGCACUUGGUGUGGCGGGUAUCGACCCCCUGCCGUGCCCGAAGCUAACGCAUUAAGUGCUCCGCCUGGGGGAGUACGGUCGCAAGGCUG